GAGGGUGUAGCUCAGUGGCAGAGCACAUGCUUAGCAUGCACAAGGUCCUGGGUUCAAUCCCCAGUACUUCCU
rnacentral:tRNA from 1 species